GUGCGGUGCUCUGCCGUGGGGGCAGUGGGGCUGAGAAGGCCAAGAAGGAGAGGGGAUAUGGCAAUACCCGGCUCCAUCCAAGAUGGAGGGCCGGGCCAUGAGCUCUUGCUGUUCCCAGGUCUCACUCUUCCUGAGCCCAGCGGUUGGCCCUUUCCUUGUGUGGCUCAUAUGACUAAUGAGGAAACUGAGGCAAACAGGAUGAAGUGACUUGCCCAGGUCACACGGCUAGUCAGUGGCUGAGGAUGCCCAAGAAAGGGAAGAGGCGGUGGGCUCUCUGGGUGGAAGGGGCAUGCAGGGGGUGCUGAGAGAAGGUGAAGAGGAAUGGGGAAAGGCUUCCUGCAGUCCAAGGAGGCGGGAAGCUAGAGAGCAGCGAGGAGGAAGAGAGCCUGAGCCGGGCAAAGGGCAGUGAGGAGGCCAGCGGCAGGCUGGCGGGGGAGCAAAGAAGCCCUGAACGCCCAGCGCAGGGCUCGAGCCUUGCUCCUCCAGGUUUCAGGGCCGGGCCGGGCUUUCCGGAGCUCCCUUGGCCAGCUGAAUGGAAGAUGGCGCAGGGUGCAUUCGAGGCCGGAGCCGCCAUGUUGGAUUGGGAGGCUGCCAGGCGGUGGGAAGGCCGCCUGGGACCGGAUGGAGGCUGUCUGGGAAGCUCUUGGAGACGGCCUCAGGGGCAUCAGCUGCGGAGGCGGAGGGCGGGCCUGGAGCUCGAGGCAAGGAGCCUCGGCCUAGCCUUGGAACGCCUCGGCUUCGCCUGGCCCCCCCGGCUCUGCUCCCACAGCCUUGGCGUCCCCCGGAGCCGCGGGAGGCACCUUUCCCGCAGCUGUCUCUGGGGGCCCAGGCUUCCGUGGGGAUGGGCCGGCCAGCGGGCCCUGGAGGACCGCCUGGAGCAGAGCGCGGCGGCCAGGAAGCCCAAGAGCAGGACCAAGUUCUCCCCGGAGCAGCUGCGGGGCCUCCGGACCAUCUUUGCCGGCUCGCUGUACCUGACCCCCGAGAAGGGCCACCAGCUGGCCGCGCUUCUGGGGCUGAGCUACAAGCAGGUACGGCGGGACGUCUGAGGGCCCUGGAGGCCUGGCAUUGGGGGGAUGAGGCGGCCAGCAGGCC
rnacentral:lncRNA from 1 species